CAGAAGCCAGAUAACUUUGCACCCCAUGCUCUUAAUCCAUCUUCACCUUUUUCCUAAAAAUGUUCCUUAAUGUCUCAGGUGUGUAACAUGUAUCCUACUUGACCAAUGUUAUCCUUUCUCUAUGUAGUUUGCAUUUUGCAUAUUCCCUACUAAGAUUAUGGGGCCAAAUUCAGCAGAGUGCAGGGGUUUGGGAGGGUUUUUUCCUCUUUUGUUUUUAGAUUUGUGCAGGACAUACAUUUGACCCACUAUACUGUUCUGUUCACUUUAACAUAAUUACAUAGGUUUGAAUGGCUUUGUCCUUUGCAGGCAGUUAGUGCUGAGUAAUUGAGUUUUACUGUAAAAGAACGAAUCCACAGGAAUGACUGGGAGCAGAGUUUGGGAUGUGCUCUUGAUAUUCCCAGUCAUGGCAAAUAUGCUAUCAUUUCGCAAUGACUGAGGGAGAACCCGUUGCAAUGGUCCUUAGAGUUCAGAUUGUGGCGUUUGGUUCUACUUUUUCCUGAACUGAUUAGUUCCAGUUUUCUCACAGAGGUAUCUCUGUCAGAUGGAGGAUGGCAAGAUGAGACUGUCUUACCUAGGAGAGACUGAAAGCAGAGUACAAUUUGAAAUGGUGAUAAUUGUUCUCUGCAAUUACAGGAAACAUUCUUCUGCCUCCCCAGCGGUACGAGUGGGGUCACUGGAGAGCUUUACUAACAGCUCAAGAAGGGAGUUAAGCCUUAAAGCUCAGUUUUACAGGUCUUGAUCUAAGGUGUCAAGAUUGUUCACAUGCAGUCAGUCAAGUAACUUUAUUUAUGGAGCCCAGAAGCUGGCCUAAAGCUUAUUUUUAUUCUGGUUUUGUUUGUUUGUUUUUUGUUAUAAUGGAAUAUUGCUCCUUUUCUGGUGUUCUUUAAAGAACUGUUGGUAAAAACAUUGUUAAAAAUGACAGAAACCCUUUUCCCCCCACCCUCCACUCCCUGAAAUCAUUGGAGUCAAUCAUAGUGGAAUAAGCAAGACUGGAAAUACGUGACUGUUCUUUUGUGAUCUCUUUGGUCUGUGAUAUGAAUGUGGUUGAGAAAAAAGCGAGUUUGCACACAGGGAAGGAUGCUUCAUAUUUCAGUUUGUGAGUAUCUCUUUAGUCUCUUGCUGACAUACUUUGAUUUGUAGGCUUAUGGAUGCAAAAUAGAGACACUUCUGUCUAAAGCCCAAAGCUAAAGCAAACCGAGAAAUUAUCUCAUCAGGUGUUACAGAUAAUGCAGACUGAAUGUGUGGAGCUGAAUAAAUAAUGGACCAUGCUGGUGUGAACUUUAGAUUAGCCCCCUGAGAGUCAAAGGCUGUUUCUGCAGGGAAGAUGUAGUAUCAGCAUAUGUCACAAACUGGUGCCUGGAAGUUUCCUCCUAACUGUUGAGCCCCCCCGAGCUUUUUUUUGGGGGGGGUCGCUCUCUGGACUGCAGGUCCUCUGUAUCCUGCAGGUCCAAGCUACAGCUUGCUCUGUGGGUGGAGAGAAUUCCCAGUAAUUCCCAGCCCAGUGCUUUCCUACCCGGUACAGCUGUCAGCCUGGGGCAUUGCAGCUCUGGUGUGCAGACUGUGGGACUCUUGGGGUGGCUAUGCUCAAGAAUUUCUGCAGGAAACACGUUACAGAUGGCCAGCAAUCAGCCCUGGUGUGAGCUGAGCAACCAGCUCGGAGUGGCUCUCCCUCUCCCUUCGCAGGAGGCGCAGCAGGCAGGCGUGUUGGGUGGUAGGACCUUGUUUCACCUUGGAGUGGCUGUAUUUCAGCACUCCUUGUAACAAUGAGUAAAAGGGUGGUUUGUGGUACGAGUGGGCACUGCUGUGCUCCCCGCCCGUGCCUGCCUCGGCUGCUGGGUGCCCUUUGUGACCCAUACACUUGUCUGCUUGACCAGACUUGUGGUAGUUUGGUUCAGGCUGUGAAGGAAGUAAAGGUCUAGGCUGUGACCGGGUCAUGAACUUCUCUAGUUGCAACCUGUUCUUUGAAAACCCACGCAGGAACAGGGUGACACGGUGAGCUUUGAUGUAUAUGAGCUUGGAAACCGGAACACUGAUCAUGCGAUUAACACAUGAAUAGCAGGUGGUCCUUCCAAGACUAAUUUGGUCAAGGAACAAAGGAGGUUGUGGGUACAAGGAGUCUCAUACUUACCUUUUCCAUUGCACGUAAUUUGACUGCGAGCCAACUGCUUUAUUCCAUAAAUAUGACAGCCUGAGUGAGCUUUUUUGAGCCCUCCCUGCUUAAGCAGCUGGGUGCAAUGGUGGUGAUCUCGCUUUGAGUUGGGACACCUCUCAAGGUUACUCCUUGAGGCUGAGAGACCCCUUAGCAACUGCACAUCUGUGGUAAGUGACUGAUACUGCGCAUAACCUUGUAUCACAGGGCAUUAAAUUUUUGUAUUGGUAACUUUGAAUCAUUAUUAUAUCCUCUGUGCAGUAAGUAAUAGAUUGAACCUUGCCACCGGACUUUGUUAAGCCUCACUUUUACAACAUCUUACUUCAAUAAAACCACUUUUGCGGCUACCUUUGGUGGUGGUUCUUUAAGCAGUCCAAGUCUGCUAUGUGACACUCCUGCAGGGACAAUUGAGCAAACAAGGGCUUCUGUGUUGUGGUUCAUUGCUUUACUGCACAGACUUCCCAUCAGCCCUCUGCAGCCAGGGUCAAUAGUGCGUACCAAGGAAAAAGUACGUGUCCUUAUUGAAUCACGAAAAAAGUAACGUUUGCCAAAUGCCCAAAUAUUCUUCGAGAGAGACCUUGGGGCCGAGUUGCUUAGAAGACAGUGGGAAGUGAUUCUCCAGUCGUCUUUCACAAAGGUAGCCAAGUACCUACUGUCAGAGUGCCCUGAAGCUCCAGUCUGCAAUGGCACACGAAGGUAGACAACCCCAAGGUUAAAUAGUCGAGAAGGAGACCUCAAAGGGGCUAUGAAGUUCAAAAUACUCUGAUUCUUGGUCACUGCCAGCACUUGGCCACCUUGCGGUGCUCGGGUGGUGUGAUCCUACCAGCGCAGUGGGGGAAGUGAGCCCCCUUUAAAGUCAUGCUGGCAAGGAAGAGGAAUUAAUUUUCAAAUGAUUUGUUUUAUGAUGUAAUAAUUUGAACAUUUUAGAUUUACAUGAGUGGAGCAGCAUUUGGCACCUUUACGGCACUUCUCAAAGCAUUUUCCAACUGGAGCUAAUUAAACCUCACGACAUUCUCGGGAGAUUGCAGAAUAAGUAAGAUCUUGGUAAUGGUUCAGAAUUUAAAUUCAGUGGUUUUAAAUCUGAUAUUUUUUUCAAAGCUUUUAGGAUUACUUUGCCAAAAUAUUUUUUUCUCAAGGAGCUGAGAUUCUAAAACUUUCUUACAAGCUCAAGGGGAGCCAAGUUACAACUGAGGGAGGGAGGAAGAGGCAGGCUAAACAUUGUAUUAAGUAUAUGCAAAGAAUAAACUGGGUUGGUUUUUCCCCCCCAUUUAGUUUAAUUGAAAAUCCUGGCAUUUUUAAUAAGGGGGGUGGGGUGGGGGGGUAACAGGGGACCGUGAACUUUUUGCUUCAAGAGUCAAACAAAUGGCUUAUAAUGAUAUUUGCCAGAAAUAUUUCAUGCUGAGCAGGUACUUGUGAACUUCCCAUUGGGGAAGUUUUUCUUCUGGAGUUUUUAAUCUUCCCAAAUUCAUCAGUGCUGGGAGAGAUGGAUCAGGCUCCAAAAUGCAUUAAGUCUUCCCUUCUUACUGUCUAGAUGGCUAUAACUAGAAUUUUUUAAAUUUUCUAUUUCAUUCCUUCACACCGAUUCCAUCCCAAACAGCAAGAGCAGCUGGUUUGUUCCCUGUAAUUUUAAAAUUUUUUUCUUUCCAUGUUUGGGCUUUAAAUGCUACUGUUAUGCUUACUGGGUUAAAAAUGGCCUCAAGGGUAAUUAAGAAAAUACUAGAAAUACUGAUUUGGGGGAGUGUAUCUGCGGGUCUGGACCCAUGCUAACCCCUUUUUAGAACUUCCCCCAUGAGUCCUGCUCACUCCAGAACUUUCCAGGUGUUUGAGCAAUGGGGGCUCUGGCUGUGCUGCAGAUGUAAGACCAGGGAUGACAGUGAUGGUAUGUGCGGUGGCAAAGCUGCCUUGGCCUGUUGUUUAGCCUGUGAAUGUGCGAACGAGACUGAAGCGCUGGAGUUUCACCUUGUUAACUCUUCAGAACAUGACACCAGCUGGUGUUUUGGGUGCCUGUGAAAUUCUGUAUGAAACAUGCCUCCUACAUUAAACUUAUUUUUUUAACAUGUUGAUGGAUAGAUUGAUUGCUUGAGAAGAAAAAGGAAGAUUUUUGUGUUAUGAUGCUGUUGGUGGUGUGAUGUGGGGAUGUCCUAAAUCCUCCUCUGCUGUUUGCACGGGUGCAAAUAGUCAGAGCAAGGGCAUGGUCGAGGAGAAUCAGGCUCUGUGUGGUUGUGCCUCAGAAGCAGCAUCGAGAGUUGGGUGGAACACUUCUUUUUACAUCCUUGAAGGGUCAUUCACCAACAACUUAUGAGAGGAGCCAGGAGCACAGCACAGCUGCUAGCUCCAGGGCUUUAACUCUGGUAAGCGGACUGUAUUGCCCACCACGGGCAUCUGAGUGACUGGAAGGAACUGUCACUUCGCAUUGAGGUGCACCUUGAUGAAUUAGUAGAAGGUGCUGUCUUUCCUUAUGUGGAGCUGAGCUUGCAGUGCAGAGCUGUAUCGCUUCAGGACACAGUUAUGAUGCUUCCUAGGAGAAUAAACAGGAAUAUUCCUACUGUGAUGGACUUUGUAAUUACUGUUAUUCUUACGUGGGAAGUACUACAGUGAUGUGCAGCAGCAUAAAACCCUAAAAUAGAUGCUGGAUGGGACUUGUUCUCCAGUGAGCGGCAAGUUCAGAGCCAGUGGAGGCACAGGCUUCAGAGAACCAGCACAGAGAGGACCCCUGAGACCUAGCUGGAGGUGACCUGGAGAAAUAUUUGUGUGGAUAGAGCAGCCCCUGUCCCCAUGCAUGUAGGAGAUGCUCCUUUCUGCAAUCUCAACAUAACAGCUGAAGACUCACAGUGGAGGGCUUGAAAGAAAGUGGAAGGAGGUUUCUGCAAGAGAAUUAUUUGGGCAAGGGUGGAUAUAUUUUUCACUUUCAGUAUUACAUAGGAAACCAUAAGCAACGCUCAAAAAUAUGGCUGGCACAGAUGGCAAAGUUGGUUGAGUGUCAAUAGGACAAGAGGAAAUGGCCUCAAGUUGUGCCAGGGGAGGUUUAGAUUGGGUAUUAGAAAAAUUUCUUCCCUGAAAGGGUUGUCAAGCACUGGAAUGGGCUGCCCAGGGACGAGGUGGAUUCACCAUUCCUGGAAAUGUUUAAAAAAAGCGCAGCUGCGGUGCUUGGCGACAUAGUUUAGUGGUGGGCUGGGCAGUCCCGGGUUAAACAGUGGGACUUGAUGAACUUAAAGGUCCUUUCCAGCCUAAAUGGUUCUAUGAUUCUGUGAGUGCUGUGGAGUAUUGGACUCAAUGACAACUAAAGGCUCAGGAAUGGCCUAUAUAAAUGUGCAUUUGCUAUUAUUGUUCUUUCUAAAUAUGUCUCUUGAGCCUUUGCUAUCUCCUAGGGAAGAACCGGUUUUCCCAGUUCCUGGAGUGAGCUUUUACCCCAGGACCUCACCAUGCCAGUGCCACUGACCCAGACUGGGAUGCUGGAUGACCUGGUGCCCCAGCCAGGGGAGCAGCCUCGGGGUUCCUCGAAGGCAGGCUCUGUGCCCUGCCAGACACUCAGCUCACUCCCAGAGCCAGCUCCAAGGGCUGAGCUUUUUGCUUCCAUCUGUACAGCUUUAGGAUUGGGAUUUCCAUUUUCCAUAACAAGCCAGCUGGGGGUGGCUUGUGGCCCAGUCUGCAGGUGUCAGUGGCAGAAAGGCACUGGAACCAGACUGGAGAAGGAGGAGAGACAAGUCCCUUACCUUAAAGGGCCCUACCUGGCUGAAAGCUCGCUGCAAUUCUUCCCAGGGUUCUCAUAAAUCAUUGGGUUUGUUCCUUUCCUUCCUGGGAAGAUAGGAAACAGCGUUUACUACCAGUUGUGGAAAACAACACAGCACAUUUGCUUUCAGGAACAGCUUUGGCUAUUCUGGAGCCUCUAGCAUGCACAGAUAGCAUACUGUUCCAGUGAAGAAAUUGCUGGAAAAUAUGAAGCCUUGUUAUCUUUCUCCAUUUUUAUUUAGCCAAACAAGGUUUCCAUAGCUCCUGGACAGCUCUGCUGCUGGGGAAAAAAAAAACCAAACACCCAACCAACUCGCAUUUCUUCACCUGCCAACUCCCGGCACUAAUUUUGUCUUCCUGCUUCAAAGCAGUCAUCGUGCCCAGAAAAUGUCAGUUCAAAGCGAAGUUUUGUCCAGUAAUGAGCCAGUGAAAAUUGUUUAGCGUAAGAUCUUCUUGUACAGCUCUCAGAACUGUGCUUAGGUGAGAGCAGAGCUGGGCUGUCAGGGUCUGCUCUGAGCUCUCCAGUUGGGUGGCUUGAAAUCAAGACUGCAUGUGUGUUGCGCUUCAAGGCUAGGCUCCAUGCUGGUUUACCAUAGGAGUAGCUUUAAGUUAAUGUAGAUGAAAGGAGCAUCCCUGCAUCUCCCGCAUCUUUCUCAAGCGAUAAAUUCAUCUACUAGGGGAGGGGGAAAAGACGGUGUAGCUUGCCAAGGGCUGUACGAACACGAUGCUUUGCUGAGCUGAUGCAUGUCGGGUUUUGGAGAGCCUCUUGCCCCACUGACCUCCACCCCACACUCCACUGUCUGCAGAGACUGUGCUCCAAAAAUGUGUGAUGUUCCCGCAACUGGGUAAGUGUGCAAAAGGGAGCUGCUCCUCUGCCACUAGCUCUGCUCCUGCCAGCGCUCAGCCUUGUGACAGGGGCUGGAAGGGCUGCAUCCUGACCUUGGAUGCAGAAGGCUGUAGUAAAUCACAGUCUCUAAUGCAUCCGAGAGCCAACUUUCCCCUGCAUGGAAAAUACUGUAUGUAACACCAAGAGACAAAUACCAAAGUCCUUAGCUGGUUCUUUAAAAAAAAAAUAAAAAUCUCCCAUUGGCCCGGGUGAGAGUUUUGCCUGAGUAAGGACAUCAAGAUUAUGCAUGCUAAUUAAAUGAACGACCCAUCCCUUCAGAGUCUGCUCUCUGCUGGGAAUUCCCCUCUGAGUAACUUGCUCCCAGUGAGGAAAGGAGUUGCAUGAAAAAUUUCCCAGAUGGUGAAUCUGUUAGAGAAAAUCACAAUCUGUUUGUGGCUUUUUCAAACAAAAAAGAGCACAGGAGACACCACGGAAUAAAUUUGUUGUUGCAAACCAUUUGCUCAGUAAUGGGGAGAAUUUAGAUGGGCAAAGAGCUUUCUUUCAGAGGAGUCUUACCUCCCUGCUGCUAAAAAUGAGCAAUGAUUUCAAAAAUAAAUUACAGCAAUGUAUAUUUUAAAAGCCUGAUGCGGUUGCUUUAAUGAUGCCUGUUCAUUUAUUCUGACAUCAAGGGUGUCUGAAGCUGCCGGGGGACAGUGGCCUCAUCCAUGCAAAGCUCCCAAGGAACAAUUGCAGCUGUGUGUACGCCCGGCUUUGUGUACCCGCCCUGCACAAAGGAGCUGUUUCACACAGAGCCGCCGUGUCCCGGCGAGUCUCCUGCCAGCAUCCCGGGGCAUGGGGACCCACGCAGCCCCAGGACCCCGGUCCACCCUACUGGAUGAGUGCAGGGCUGACCCUAACACUGUCUGUGAGUUGGGGCCAAAGCCAACCCCAGUUGGGGAGGGGGCUUGGGGGUGCAAUGGAGCAGCCUUUGGCUGGCGAAAGGCAUCUGGGCUGGGGCAGGCGUUGGCAGAGCCCGGCAGCGAUCCCAGGCAGGUCCCUGGGAUGGACGGGGCCGCCUCGUUGCAGGCUCAGCAGAAGGGGACACACGUGCCUGCCAGCCCCUUGGCAAUCGCUGUGCGGAGUGGGAGUGCGGUGAGGUGCCAGGCUGUGCCCGGGGGGCUGUGGGCUGCUGUUCCUUCCUGCCAGCCUCGCUGGAAGGGGACGUUGCCUGGGGAGGGGACCAGUGGGUGGAUGGCAUUGGGGACCACUUGGAUCCCUGCUUCACCUGUCAGAGCCCGAGACACCACUUCACUGCAUGCAGCCUGGCUUUGCUGCAUUACUGAUGUUGCCUGGACACAUUGCACUUAGAAUCUGAAUUUCAUAAAAAGCCCUAAGCUAAGAAAAAUUCUUCCAAGUUUCUUUUUAAUUUAAACUUCAAAUACACACUGCUUAAUAGUUUCUUGGAAACACAGUUGCUUUGCAGUUACGUGCAAUGUAGGCACUGUUACUUCCUUCUUUUCCAUGUGACGCUGACUGCAAACGGUCUGGUGGCAAACAUGAAACCUGCCGUUGUGCAAUGCAGCGGGGCUGGGGCCGAGGCAGGCGAGUGAGGAGCAGCACACGCAGCUAAAACGGGCUGAACUCGAAACAUAAAGUUUUCUUAGCCAAACUGAUGGUGAAUUCUUGCGUACAUUGAUGUGAUCAGCCCGUAUCUUUUUAAUAACUUCAUCCUUAUUGCUAAGAAUUACAUAAACGUGUGCUUCAGUUUUGCAGGGUUUGGUUUAGGAGAGAUUUAUGUGCCUUCAGGAUUUGUACAACUUGCUGAGCUUCAAGGACUGAGGGUCCAUCACGAGGCACAACGGGGACUUGCACGCAGUUCUCCUGUCCUCCAGCCUUUCCUAAUGAACCAAGCUGGUAGUGCUGAUUUGCCAACAGAUUUCCUAUUUACUGUUCACCAGAGCAUCAGUUGUGACAAAUAAACAGAAGAAGGCAGCAUUUCACUGAAAGCAUUUUAUGUACUGAUUAAGACACUAUACGAAGAGAGCUCCUCUGGGUACACGGCGAGGCUUGAUUGCAAAGUAGCUAUUGCAGUGCUUAGAGGGGCUGCUCUUAGGGCUUUGCAGCGCUAGCCAGGUCAAAAAAACCACAUAAAUACAUAUAUUUCUGCAAUCUGGCUGUUGAAAGCCAGGGGAGUGCAUUCCUCUUUACGAUAGCAGGGGGGUGGUUUCCACAGAGAUUGUUUGUUUAAAUUAAUGCCUAUAUUCACACACUGUGAAUGCCUUCAGAACGGGAUGAAUGCGGUGCCUGGUUUGGAGAAACACAGGAUAAUUUUUAUGAUCAGUAACGACAUGAUAGCAAUGAGCUACAAAUACAGGCAAGCAAAUUUCACGCUUCGAGGACUGUAACUGCUUGCCAGGGAGGGCAGGAGGGGACUGAUGCUGCUUUUUCCAUUCUUAGGGAAUGGUGGCAUGCAUGAAAAGGGCUAUAGGCAUUUUUUGUCUCUUCCUUUAAAGCAUCAAGCACCAACAAAGAACAGAAGCAAGAACCAAGACCUGAAACCUGGUUAUAGCUCGGGAGAAACGUCUAGUUCUGCUGGAGUCAAUGGCAAAUUCUCAGUGCUUUCAACGAGGCUGGAGCACAACAAGCAAAACUCAUCAUGUGGUGAAGUCCACUUGGUGGGUACGAUGAGGAGAGGAAAAGGCAAAUCCCUUUGCCAUAACAUCCUUUUCCAGCCCGGAGCUGGGACGUGGUGAUUCCCGCAGCCGCAGAGUGCUGGGGAGCAGGCCAGCCUGGCUGGUGGCAACCUCGGCCCUAGCACCGGCCACCCCGGCAGCGGCGCCUCUGGAGAGCUUGGUGCAGCAGUGCUUUGCCGUGGGCUCCCUGACAGCUGGGACGCUGGUACCCAGCCAGGCCGGCUCCCUUGCACAGGCAUUCAGAAAUACGACUGGAAAGCAAGAUGCAAAGCGUAUUUGAACCAUCUUCAGCGUCCUCAAAACCCAGAAUUUGCAGAAGGAACAAAACCUCUAACGCUUUGCAGGCAACAGCUAACGUAUAACUGAAAAGCUGCAGCCAGGAAGGGUUAAACGGACGUGGGAUACUGCGGGAUUGUUUCUUCUGCCUGGCUGGAAGAUGAAAUUUGGAAUGGAAAUUUGCCUGCAAGUCUCGAGCAGUUCCACCUCAGAUAACUCCGCUUUUGUCUGUGACACUGAAAAAAGGCUUUUGCCUGCAGGAGGAAGGUAGGGAAGGCGGGAGUGGAGCUGGAGCAGCCCGGGAAGCUCGGGCUCUGCACUUUUGCUGGAUUUGCUGGGUUCAUCUUCCUCUGCCACUAAAAUCCGGGCUGCGAGACCCCCGCAAACCAACCCCCCGCAGGCCAGGUUUUGCUGGGGGUGGGAGCUCUGUGCCCCUGUGGGCUUCCCCUUGAGCUCGCCAUGGGCCGUGGGUGUGCAGCAUCGCUGCUGGCCUGUCUCCUUGUCCACUUGGAGCGGUUACACCUCCCGAACAGCACCCGUCACCCUGGCCCCUCGCCCACCCCCUCCCUGAGCACGGCAGCUCCUGCACGUGGUGGCUGCAAGGAGCAUCCCUUGGGAUGCAGAAUCCCUUGGGAUGCAGCCAGUGGGAUGCAGGGAUGCCCUGGCCCCACAGAGCCGAACCCUCACCCACGUGCAGGGCUCAACACGUGCACCGAUGUUUCUAAAAUCAGGGUGGAAAUGAGCAAAGGGUGGCAGGGCUGGCGUCCGCGAUGGCACAGGCGGUGGGAGACGGCAACGGGACGGGUGCGGGUGGCCAGAGCUCAUUAAUUAGGGGAAUAAAUGAGAUAACGGGCUGAGAAACCACUGGGUUGGCUUCAAGGAAGAGCUGCAGGAGCGGGAGGUGGCUCAGCGGGGUGGCCUGGGACACGGCUGGGGACACAGCCAGGGACACACCAGCAUCUCCCAGCAGAUCCCACAGGAUUCCCUUUGCACAGGGCAGCAGCCCCAGGAGGGACCCUCCGCCAGGUCCCACGGGAGGGGAGGGGGGGGCAGGAGGAGGGAGCAGCACCCCCGGGGGGGUGCAGCCCAGGGGGGCCAGCAGCCCCCACAGGCCCCUGGGGGUCGUCCUAUAGGAAUGGGGUGUCCUAUGGGAAAUGAAAUAAAACAAAAUGAAAAAAAGUGAAAUAAAGAAUAAAAUAAGCAGGUGGUUGGCAGCUGGCCUAGGUGGUCAUUGUAGGGCCCUUCCAAGUGGGCUGUGCUACUUAAAAAUAAUGAAAUAAAAAUUUGAAUGGAGGAAAUGUAAGAAAGAAAUAAGAAAUGAAUAAUAAAAAAGAAAUGAUGCAAUGAAAAA